rnacentral:rRNA from 1 species
GAAGGUUUCCGUAGGUGAACCUGCGGAAGGAUCAUU